UGUGUGUGUGUGUGUGUGUAUGUGUGUAUUGCAUAAAGACGGUAGUUUUACACGCAAUAAACCUCUUCCAAAUUGGUGCAGCGGCUGUCCCCGCCCUGAAAACCGAGUUUGGCGUCGAGUCACCCUGGAAGCCACCCUGGGAUAUAUGGAGGCGCCGGAGGACCAGUGGAAGGUGUCAUCCAGAUGACAGCCUCACAAUUCCCAGCCUUUAUGCUCUCCAUCAGAAACCCUUCAGGGGCAAGCCACUUAUGUUUGCCUUCAGACAAGACAACAUUGAAGCAGGAUUCCAGCACAGCCAUCUCCUG